rnacentral:rRNA from 1 species
AUAAGUGAAUAGUGAAAUCUGAUGGCUCAACCAUACAGGCUAUUAUUCAAACUGUACAACUCGAGAGUGGUAGAGGUCACUGGAAUUUCUUGUGUAGGAGUGAAAUCCGUAGAUAUAAGAAGGAACACCGAUGGCGUAGGCAGGUGACUGGACCAUUUCUGACGCUAAGGCACGAAAGCGUGGGAGCGAACCGGAUUAGAUACCCGGGUAGUCCACGCCGUAAACGAUGGAUACUG